UACGGAGGGAGCUAGCGUUGUUCGGAAUUACUGGGCGUAAAGCGCACGUAGGCGGCUUUGUAAGUUAGAGGUGAAAGCCUGGGGCUCAACCCCAGAAUUGCCUUUAAGACUGCAUCGCUUGAAUCCAGGAGAGGUGAGUGGAAUUACCGAGUUGUAGAGGUGAAAUUCGUAGAUAUUCGGGAAGAACACCAGUGGCGUAAGGCGGCUCACUGGACUGGUAUUGA
rnacentral:rRNA from 1 species